CUGACUGCCAGUGGGGAGGGAUCUCUUCUGGAGAUCCACUCCCCUGGAAUUUCAUAGAUGAGCACAGGAUAUGGGUGUUACAUGUACCAACAAUUCUACACAUGCAGUCAUGAGACACAAUGAUCACCGUCUUCCUACUUUUCCUGUAAACCUCAUCUAAAGGACACAAUGAGAAGUGUAGCUCACAGUCAGGAUGCCUUUGACGUCCUCAGCCACCACUUCAUAUCAGAAAAUCUUAAGAAUCAGGAAAAGUUUGCUCGCUACUCAGUCUGCUUGACGUGGAUGUGAUAUGGGACAGUUGGGGCAUAUGGGACAGUUAUAAAUGAACCUUUGGCUUAAGCAGAGACAUCGGGCAGAGUGAGAAGGUCAGUACCACUGAACUGUCUGCUACAUAAAAACUGAGCUGAAUUAAUGUAGAUUUGAGAGCCAGACUUGUAAAACAAACAAACAAAAAAAAAAAACCCCAAAACACAACUGUUACAAAAACUUAAAUGCAGUCUAAUUUGAUGGGGAAGUACAAUACAGAGGAAACAACAGUGUCUGGAGGGAUUGGUACCCAGUACGGGUUGCAGAUGCAAAACAUCCAUUGUUUGUGUAACUUAGAUUUUAUUACAAUUCACAGACAUUUUGCCACUCACAUCCACUGCGCUUUCACUCAUGGCAUGGUAAAAAAUGUAAAGCAGGUACAGAACACUUCUGAAAGUCUCACCCUAAAUUGUAACUUUUUAUGACUCUGUGGGAGAACAGUUUCAGAAUUUCAGACAUCCGUAGCAAACCAGUGUUAUCAGAUUUAUUGUCAGCUGAAUAUGCAGUGCUGCAUGAAACAUGCAUUUUAGAUCCCAGAUUGUUAGAUUAUUUGGGUUUACAUGGACUAAUAUGAAAUUAAGCUCUUUCACAUCUGUCCAGGAACAAAUGGCAUUUUAAAGUGACACUUGUAUUCCUGUAUGCUUUUUCCUGAAGAACAUGUGCUAGCAAUGCCUUUCCUGCUGUUGCAGAUAUUCAUAAUGCAUUGCUUAGAUGACUUAGUAGCCACUGACUACUGGAAAAUAUCAUGAGUCAGAGAACAAAUGUGUAAAAUAAAUUGAAAUGUUCAGCUAUAAUGAAAAACAGUGCAGGUUAUUAGAAAUGUUGAAUUAUAUUAGAGAUGUUGAAUAUAAAAAAAUGUAAGUUUGAAAUAUCACUUGCCGUUUUUUCUAAAAUGUUGCACUAUAGUCAUCAAUUUCAAAGAAUAAAAGGUCAAAAAUCCAUCAAAAAGCUGAGGAGGAGUCCCACAUGUUUACCUUCUUUGAGAGGCAAGUUGAUUUUGUGGACUACUCCAAAAUUUAUUUCAAAGUUCCUUCAUAAACUUUGCUUUUAUAAGAAGCAUGACUGCAUCUUCAGUCUUAGCUUGUAGCCCUUGCACUGAGUAACAGGUAGAUUCUAUGAAAGGCAGGAGGCAGCUACAAGUGAAGAACAUCACUAUCCAUCACUGGACAGUGUGGUACCCCAAAACUGCCAUCACUUUCAGGCACAACAGAAAUUACACUGAAUUAAUGCUUCACAGUGAUGGAUGGGAGUUUGUCUCAAGCUGGUAAAGUGGGACACAGUACACAAAAGGAAUGCAAAUCUUCCAGGAGUUAAUCUGAUCCUCACUAUACUCAGUACGCACACAAAAAAGGAAAAAGUUAAAAAGGGAAAGAACCAGUCUUGGAAGUAAAAGCUAAUGCUUUCCAUUCUCAGAUGAGAGAGUGAUAAAGACUAUGAAAUCUUCCUGGCCAUUUGCAGAUCCACAGAUUUCUCUGUAGAGUUCAAAUGCUUCAAUUGGCCAGAUGGAGGCCACACAGGAUGCAGAGUACUGGAUUUAGGAUGACUCAAACAUAGUUUAGAAAAGCACCCCUCCUGACAAAGAUCAGUUCCCAGAUUGAUGGACUGGACUGAAUGCUGGGGCUGGGGCAGAGUACUGAUUGAGGACAGCAGGGUCCAGCAGCAUGUUUACUGAGCUCAAUGUGAAAUUCUGCAUUAUGUGAUAAAAUGAGCUCUUGGCUACCAGAGUUGCCAAUGUCUGAAGAAAUGAGGCUCACUUAAAUUAUUUGUGAAAAAAAGAGGUAGUUGGUACUUCAAUAAAUACUCUCCUCCUGUGAAAUAUUUCCCAGAAGUUAAAACAGCAGUAUUUUUAAGAUCCAUUAAUUGUGCUGGAGGACUUUUUUGCUGAUUUGGUCUAUGGCCUCCACAUUUAGCUGUUUUCUAUCUACGGAAACUUAAGCUGUCUUUUAAUACUCAAUGAUUCAGGGAUGCUUAUGUCAUUCAUUAAUCCCAGAUGCUCUUGUGGGAAAUUAGAUGGUAGGAUGUAUCUUGAAUGUGUACAGUUUGUCAAUAGUAGAGAAUUUCAGGCUGUUUUUAAAAAGUAUUUCUCUAUUAAAUUGUAGAUUUAAUCCAUGCUGUGUUAAGAACACUGAUUUUAUGAUGAUGGAUGCUGAAUGAAAGGGGUUAGAACAUAUAAAGAAGUGUAUAUGUUCAGGUUUAUUACCAGUUUUCUCUUGAUGUUUUUUUUUUUUUUUCUUCUCCCUCACAAUUUGUGGAUGAGUCUCUUACUUUGGCAAGUUCCUAGAACAGCAAGUAACCAUGGCAGGCUGUUGGACAUGUGCUAUUAAAACUGAUUGUCUGUGCCAGUGUUCAGACAAUUUAUAUGUUCUUUUAAACUUAUUUUUGUUCCUUCUCUGUCUUGAAAUCCAGUUUUAACAAGCAGUGCUGAGAGGUUUUGAUUUACUGUUAUGAGUGAUGGUUUUAAAUGGGCUGGCACUUUCACGGGAAGAUGAAAAACACAUUCAUGUCAUGUUUUCUCAACCCUGCCUGGGAUUUCAGGUACAUAAAGCAGGUUGUCCUUUUGCUGUUCAAAGGCUCCUCUGACGUUCUCCAAUGACAUUUAGACAUGGCUUACUAUUUUGUUGAUAAUUUUUAAGCUACCAAAUAAAAAGUCUGUGUACGUGGCAAAUCUCUUAAUAAGGCUGAAUAAUUCUCUGAACAUAUACAAAAAGAUCUGUUGUUCAGUGAUUUCACCACAGCCAAACAAUUAGGAGUUAUAUACUUUACUGGGAAUAUAAAAUACUAAGAA